ACUCCUGCGGGAGGCAGCAGUGGGGAAUAUUGCACAAUGGGCGCAAGCCUGAUGCAGCCAUGCCGCGUGUAUGAAGAAGGCCUUCGGGUUGUAAAGUACUUUCAGCGGGGAGGAAGGCGAUAAGGUUAAUAACCUUGUUGAUUGACGUUACCCGCAGAAGAAGCACCGGCUAACUCCGUGCCAGCAGCCGCGGUAAUACGGAGGGUGCAAGCGUUAAUCGGAAUUACUGGGCGUAAAGCGCACGCAGGCGGUCUGUCAAGUCGGAUGUGAAAUCCCCGGGCUCAACCUGGGAACUGCAUUCGAAACUGGCAGGCUAGAGUCUUGUAGAGGGGGGUAGAAUUCCAGGUGUAGCGGUGAAAUGCGUAGAGAUCUGGAGGAAUACCGGUGGCGAAGGCGGCCCCCUGGACAAAGACUGACGCUCAGGUGCGAAAGCGUGGGGAGCAAACAGGAUUAGAUACCCGGGUAGUCCC
rnacentral:rRNA from 1 species